AGAACAAGGAGCAUGUGAUUGAGGCC
rnacentral:piRNA from 1 species